CCUUUUCUUCUCUUGAACCGCAGAGGGGCAGCCGCCAAGUCAUUCACUGACUUGGCGGCUGCCCCUUUUUCAUGA
rnacentral:sRNA from 1 species